UGAUCCUGGCUCAGGACGAACGCUGGCGGCGUGCCUAACACAUGCAAGUCGAACGAGGUCCAUGCAGUGGCAACACUGCGGAAGACCUAGUGGCGAACGGGUGAGUAACACGUGAGGAACCUGCCCCGAAGACCGGGAUAACCCUCCGAAAGGAGAGCUAAUACCGGAUACCCCCACCUGGUCGCAUGGCCGGGUGAGGAAAUGGAUUCCGCUUCGGGAGGGCCUCGCGGCCUAUCAGCUAGUUGGUGAGGUAACGGCUCACCAAGGCAUCGACGGGUAGCUGGUCUGAGAGGACGAUCAGCCACACUGGGACUGAGACACGGCCCAGACUCCUACGGGAGGCAGCAGUGGGGAAUCUUGCGCAAUGGGCGAAAGCCUGACGCAGCAACGCCGCGUGCGGGAUGACGGCCUUCGUGGUUGUAAACCGCUUUCAGCAGGGACGAAAAUGACGGUACCUGCAGAAGAAGCCCCGGCUAACUACGUGCCAGCAGCCGCGGUAAUACGUAGGGGGCGAGCGUUAUCCGGAUUCAUUGGGCGUAAAGCGCGCGUAGGCGGCCCGGCAGGCCGGGGGUCGAAGCGGGGGGCUCAACCCCCCGAAGCCCCCGGAACCUCCGCGGCUUGGGUCCGGUAGGGGAGGGUGGAACACCCGGUGUAGCGGUGGAAUGCGCAGAUAUCGGGUGGAACACCGGUGGCGAAGGCGGCCCUCUGGGCCGAGACCGACGCUGAGGCGCGAAAGCUGGGGGAGCGAACAGGAUUAGAUACCCUGGUAGUCCCAGCCGUAAACGAUGGACGCUAGGUGUGGGGGGACGAUCCCCCCGUGCCGCAGCCAACGCAUUAAGCGUCCCGCCUGGGGAGUACGGCCGCAAGGCUAAAACUCAAAGGAAUUGACGGGGGCCC
rnacentral:rRNA from 1 species